CCUGGAAAAGAGAAGGCUGCGGAGAGACCUGAUUACAGCUGUUCAGUACUUAAAGGGGGCCUAUAGGAAAGAUGGGGAAAAUCUUUUUAGUAGGGCCAGCUGUGUCAGGACAAGGG